UGGGGCAUUUGGGCAUUUCUCAGGGCUGGAAGGGCUGUCUCUGGGAAGCAGGACUAGACUUGUUCUGUGGGGUCUCGAGGGAGUGGACCCAGAACCAGUGGGUGGAAGAAAAGCGGACAGAUUUCAGAACACUAGAAGGAAGGGCUCUCUAACAGGCAGAGAUGUGCAAAGGUGGACCUCCGUGUUUGGGGCAGCGAUGCGCUCCACGUUCUGUGGAUCGGCACCCUCUCCAGGACCAGGCAGAGCUCCGAGAAGCCCAGGCACCAGGUGAAGCUGGGACAGUUGUGAAUGGCUUCUCCUGGGUAGGAGACAGCCUCACAAAAGAACCUUUCUCCUUCCUCCUGGGAAAGGACACACGCCCUCUGGAUGGUCCUCUUGGUUUCAUGAUGAGCAAUAAAGCAGGAAGCUGCUUUUUAGGAGUCAAGAUUGCCAGGAUCAGGGGCUUAGCGGAAGCCAUCU